rnacentral:rRNA from 1 species
GCCAUGCAUGUCUAAGUAUAAACGAUUUAAUCGUGAAACCGCGAAUGGCUCAUUAUAACAGCUAUAAUUUACUUGAUCUUGACACAAUCCUACUUGGAUAACUGUGGUAAUUCUAGAGCUAAUACAUGCAUUAAAGCUCUGACCUCACGGGAAGAGUGCAUUUAUUAGAACAAAACCAAGCGGCUUCGGCUGUUUCUGGUUGACUCAUAGUAACUGAGCUGAUCGCAUGGUCUUGCACCGGCGACGUGUCUUUCAAGUAUCUGCCGUAUCAACUUUCGAUGGUAGUGUAUCUGACUACCAUGGUGAUCACGCGUAACGGAGAAUAAGGGUUCGGCUCCGGAGAGUUCGCCUGAGAAAUCGCGAACACAUCUAAGGAAGGCAGCAGGCGCGAAAAUUACCCACUCUCAGCACGAGGAGGUAGUGACGAAAAAUAACGAGACCGUUCUCUUAUGAGGCCGGUCAUCGGAAUGGGUACAAUUUAAACCCUUUAACGAGUAUCUA